UUCGUAGGGGGCGAGCGUUGUCCGGAUUUAUUGGGCGUAAAGAGCUCGUAGGCGGCUUAGCAAGUCGGGUGUGAAAACUCCAGGCUCAACCUGGAGACGCCACUCGAGACUGCUAUGGCUAGAGUCCGGUAGGGGACCACGGAAUUCCUGGUGUAGCGGUGAAAUGCGCAGAUAUCAGGAGGAACACCGGUGGCGAAGGCGGUGGUCUGGGCCGGCACUGACGCUGAGGAGCGAAAGCGUGGGGAGCAAACAGG
rnacentral:rRNA from 1 species